UACGGGGGGGGCAAGCGUUGUUCGGAAUUACUGGGCGUAAAGGGCUCGUAGGCGGCCAACUAAGUCAGACGUGAAAUCCCUCGGCUUAACCGGGGAACUGCGUCUGAUACUGGAUGGCUUGAAUCCGGGAGAGGGAUGCAGAAUUCCAGGUGUAGCGGUGAAAUGCGUAGAUAUCUGGAGGAACACCGGUGGCGAAGGCGGCGUUCUGGACUGCAACUGACACUGAGAAACGAAAGCCAGGGGAGCAAACGGG
rnacentral:rRNA from 1 species